GGUUAAGCGACUAAGCGUACACGGUGGAUGCCCUGGCAGUCAGAGGCGAUGAAGGACGUGCUAAUCUGCGAAAAGCGCCGGCGAGGUGAUAUGAACCCUUGACCCGGCGAUGUCCGAAUGGGGAAACCCAGUGUGUUCCGACACACUAUCGUUAACUGAAUACAUAGGUUAACGAGGCGAACCGGGGGAACUGAAACAUCUAAGUACCCCGAGGAAAAGAAAUCAACCGAGAUUCCCCCAGUAGCGGCGAGCGAACGGGGAGCAGCCCGGAGUCUGAAUCAGCUUGUGUGUUAGUGGAACGGUCUGGAAAGUCCGACGGUACAGGGUGAUAGUCCCGUACACGAAAAUGCACAGGUUGUGAACUCGAAGAGUAGGGCGGGACACGUGGUAUCCUGUCUGAAUAUGGGGGGACCAUCCUCCAAGGCUAAAUACUCCUGACUGACCGAUAGUGAACCAGUACCGUGAGGGAAAGGCGAAAAGAACCCCGGCGAGGGGAGUGAAAAAGAACCUGAAACCGUGUACGUACAAGCAGUGGGAGCACCUUCGGGUGUGACUGCGUACCUUUUGUAUAAUGGGUCAGCGACUUAUAUUCUGUAGCAAGGUUAACCGUAUAGGGGAGCCGAAGGGAAACCGAGUCUUAACUGGGCGUUAAGUUGCAGGGUAUAGACCCGAAACCCGGUGAUCUAGCCAUGGGCAGGUUGAAGGUUGGGUAACACUAACUGGAGGACCGAACCGACUAAUGUUGAAAAAUUAGCGGAUGACCUGUGGCUGGGGGUGAAAGGCCAAUCAAACCGGGAGAUAGCUGGUUCUCCCCGAAAGCUAUUUAGGUAGCGCCUCGUGAACUCAUCUUCGGGGGUAGAGCACUGUUUCGGCUAGGGGGCCAUCCCGGCUUACCAACCCGAUGCAAACUACGAAUACCGAAGAAUGUUAUCACGGGAGACACACGGCGGGUGCUAACGUCCGUCGUGAAGAGGGAAACAACCCAGACCGCCAGCUAAGGUCCCAAAGUCAUGGUUAAGUGGGAAACGAUGUGGGAAGGCACAGACAGCCAGGAUGUUGGCUUAGAAGCAGCCAUCAUUUAAAGAAAGCGUAAUAGCUCACUGGUCGAGUCGGCCUGCGCGGAAGAUGUAACGGGGCUAAACCAUGCACCGAAGCUGCGGCAGCGACGCUUAUGCGUUGUUGGGUAGGGGAGCGUUCUGUAAGCCGUUGAAGGUGUGCUGUGAGGCAUGCUGGAGGUAUCAGAAGUGCGAAUGCUGACAUAAGUAACGAUAAAGCGGGUGAAAAGCCCGCUCGCCGGAAGACCAAGGGUUCCUGUCCAACGUUAAUCGGGGCAGGGUGAGUCGACCCCUAAGGCGAGGCCGAAAGGCGUAGUCGAUGGGAAACAGGUUAAUAUUCCUGUACUUGGUGUUACUGCGAAGGGGGGACGGAGAAGGCUAUGUCAGCCGGGCGACGGUUGUCCCGGUUUAAGCAUGUAGGCGGAGGUUCCAGGUAAAUCCGGUACCUUUUAACGCUGAGGUGUGAUGACGAGGCACUACGGUGCUGAAGUGAUAAAUGCCCUGCUUCCAGGAAAAGCCUCUAAGCAUCAGGUAACACGAAAUCGUACCCCAAACCGACACAGGUGGUCAGGUAGAGAAUACCAAGGCGCUUGAGAGAACUCGGGUGAAGGAACUAGGCAAAAUGGUGCCGUAACUUCGGGAGAAGGCACGCUGAUAGGUAGGUGAAGCCCCUGCGGGCGGAGCUGAAAUCAGUCGAAGAUACCAGCUGGCUGCAACUGUUUAUUAAAAACACAGCACUGUGCAAACACGAAAGUGGACGUAUACGGUGUGACGCCUGCCCGGUGCCGGAAGGUUAAUUGAUGGGGUUAGCGGCAACGCGAAGCUCUUGAUCGAAGCCCCGGUAAACGGCGGCCGUAACUAUAACGGUCCUAAGGUAGCGAAAUUCCUUGUCGGGUAAGUUCCGACCUGCACGAAUGGCGUAAUGAUGGCCAGGCUGUCUCCACCCGAGACUCAGUGAAAUUGAACUCGCUGUGAAGAUGCAGUGUACCCGCGGCAAGACGGAAAGACCCCGUGAACCUUUACUAUAGCUUGACACUGAACACUGGUCCUUGAUGUGUAGGAUAGGUGGGAGGCUUUGAAGCGUGGACGCCAGUCUGCGUGGAGCCGCCCUUGAAAUACCACCCUUUAAUGGCUGGUGUUCUAACGUAGACCCGUGAUCCGGGUUGCGGACAGUGUCUGGUGGGUAGUUUGACUGGGGCGGUCUCCUCCCAAAGAGUAACGGAGGAGCACGAAGGUUGGCUAAUCCUGGUCGGACAUCAGGAGGUUAGUGCAAUGGCAUAAGCCAGCUUGACUGCGAGCGUGACGGCGCGAGCAGGUGCGAAAGCAGGUCAUAGUGAUCCGGUGGUUCUGAAUGGAAGGGCCAUCGCUCAACGGAUAAAAGGUACUCCGGGGAUAACAGGCUGAUACCGCCCAAGAGUUCAUAUCGACGGCGGUGUUUGGCACCUCGAUGUCGGCUCAUCACAUCCUGGGGCUGAAGUAGGUCCCAAGGGUAUGGCUGUUCGCCAUUUAAAGUGGUACGCGAGCUGGGUUUAGAACGUCGUGAGACAGUUCGGUCCCUAUCUGCCGUGGGCGCUGGAGAAUUGAGGGGGGCUGCUCCUAGUACGAGAGGACCGGAGUGGACGCAUCACUGGUGUUCGGGUUGUCAUGCCAAUGGCACUGCCCGGUAGCUAAAUGCGGAAGAGAUAAGUGCUGAAAGCAUCUAAGCACGAAACUUGCCCCGAGAUGAGUUCUCCCUGAGACCUUGAGUCUCCUGAAGGAACGUUAAAGACGAUGACGUUGAUAGGUCGGGUGUGUAAGCGCAGCGAUGCGUUGAGCUAACCGAUACUAAUGAACCGUGAGGCUUAACCUU
rnacentral:rRNA from 1 species